ensembl:lincRNA
GCCCCCCCCCCCCGUUCUUCUGAGGACUGAGGUAACUCCCCUCUAAAGCCCGGGGGCUCAGGGCUGGUGAGGCAGAGAGUGCUGGUGGUGGUGAAAGUUCUGUAGGAAGCCUCCCCCCUAGCAGCCUCGGCCUGGACAGGGGCAGGAAUGUGGUCAGAGAGCUCUGCCCCCGCAGUCGGCUGCCCGGGCAGCUGUUCAAGUGUAGAUCCAUUUCAAAGGCCUUUUGUUAAAACUUCUAAGGGCCAAAAGGACUGCUCAAAGCCAGAAGCCUUGCACUGGGAGGGCCUGGCAAUUCCAGUGACCUGGAAGGCUAUCAAGCUCCUUUAAGCCAGAGCUAGGUAAUCAGCACAGUAAGUCAGGGGACCAGGGGCAGGUUCCAAGGGCCACAGUGACUGAGAGAAGGCUUGCUUGCACCUUUGGAUUACUGAAGUGUGACAGGCAGGUUGCAGAGCGGGCAGGGAACUGGAAGUCUUUGGAAAAAUCCUCACCAGGGUGUUGCCAUGGUUAUGUUGGCAUUGGUCUCCCCCGGGACCAUUUUGUAGUUUAAUGUGGUCUUCCUUCUCCUUUCUCCCCAAGGGUUGUCUGCUCAUCCAGCUGAGUCAGAGCUCAGCCUGGGGUCAUGCUUCUGCUACUACUAAUUGGCUAGUGUGUUGGGGGCCAGUUAUUCACCUGUUUGUAAUGCUAUUUUCUCAUUCAUAAAGAUGUUGGCCCAGUUGCCAGGCUUGCUUCCCUGUGAUGGGCACUGAGGGCAUCCCAGAAGGUGAAAGAAGGGUGAAAAGGCGCGGGCUGAGGAUCUCUGAGGGUUCAAGCCGUUUACCACUUCCAGCCUUCAGACCAGAGCAGAGUGGGCUCCUCUGUUGCCAGGGGCCUCCCGGCCUGCUCUGCAGAGCCUCCUCUGGGAGCAUGAGUGAAGACCCAGGCCACCCAGCACCAAGGCAGAAGGGAAAGAAAGAAGGAAGGACAGGAGUGCAGCACAGGCAAGCCUUACGUUUGAACACCUGUGACUGGCAAAUAAUUCAGCCCCAGAUGAAAACAGCUGUGUGGCAUGGGCAGGCAUUAAGAGCUGCAGCUCACCUUGGAUUCUUGCUCGCUGGCUGUCUGAGAGCGGGGAUGCCUCUUCCUUCAAACUGAGAAGUUUCCCCAUCUCCAGGACCUUUGCACUGAGCUUCCCCUACCUCCUUCUACGAGACAGGGCCUCACUAAGUCCCUAAAUUGCCCAUGCUGGGCUUGACCUUUAGAUUCUCCUGUCACAGCAUACUGGCUUUACAGCCACGAGCCACUCGCCUGGCGUCAAAUGCCAUCGAAUGGAGCUCCCAGCUACUUCCUUCCACCUGCUCCCCCAGGGUCCUCACAGCUUGAUGAAGCUGCUACCUGCUUUAGGCUGCUCAAGCCGCUGCUGUGAAGCUAUCCUGGAUUUUCCCUCUCCACCUUAUCUGCUCUGGCAAGAUUCUUCCUGAAAGGAAAAGGCAUUUUCAUUAUUUACUAAUUCAACUGACCAGAUGAAUUCACAAGAUCAGGGCUUCAGACUCAGCUCUGCGAGUUUUCAGUCCUGUGAGAGUAAGAAAAUCCCCCCCUGCAGAAAGCUCAUGACGGCGGCUGCCUUACCCAUCAGCCCAGCUGCAAGGACAUCCCCAGACGCCUCCAGCUCUGCUUUGCUUCUGUCUGCAAAUACGUCCUGCUCCAGCUCCUACAGAAACACCGGCGCUUGGAAACGCUUGGCAUUUUGUGGUCCCUCAGGAUGAAGUUCCUCGAACCCUCUCUCCACGGGACAGUGGAGAUGAAAUCUCAGUGAGAACGCUGCAGGGUAGCUGACUCUGGCUAGCAACUGACCAACUCUGAGGACCCGGGCCAUUUAUUAUGGUGGGGGGUGCCAUCAUUUGUCAGGUCACCCACGACGGACGCUGCCGCGGAAGGGGAGGCAUCUGAACUGGAUACACACGUGGUGGGUUUGAUGCAACAUUUGCUGCUUUUCAAAACAGAAUUUUCAAGUUGAUUUUUAAUUAGAAAAAUUUCAUCUUAACCUCUUGUCCCCUGUGGUCAUUUUGAAGACGCAGCGAACGGGCACUGUAUCACAGGGUCUUAUUUAAAUGAAUUCAGUUGUACAAUACUCCUUGGGAUCUGGGAGCAACUGGUGGACCCUAAGGGUGCUCGCAUCCGGAGGAAGGAGGUGCUCUGGAGACACAGGGAGGACACCGGGAGCUGCCGGUGGGUGUGUCGAAGAUGGAGGAGUAGGGGCCUCCUGCCGGCAGGACUCACUUUUAGCAUGUGCCGUCCCCUCAGUCCCAAGUGAGCUGUGAGUGGCGGGCGGACCAGGGAAAGACUGGAUGGCAGGCAGCAGCCCCUCCCGGGUAUCACGAAGAUGGCCUUGAGACUGAAGUUGGCGGGAGGGGCGGGCAUGAAAACAGAGAAGCCAGGAGCAUACACGGCCUCCUACUCCUCAUCGCCAACCACCCCCGACCCUAGCUUACGGGUGCUUUGCUACCUUCGAGGCAGAAGGCCAGUUCUCUGUCCUGCUGAGAGAGGCUUACAGGCAGGUGAGGAACCGAGCACGGUGCCUUUGUCCCCUGCCUGUAGGUGACAGGUAAAGGACGGCGGAAAUACUCAGGCUGACAGCAAUGCGGCCUGGCUGCAGGACGUUAGAUUUGGGCCCAGUGCAAAGGGCGGUGAGAACAGCCGUGUUGCAGGAAAGACGACAGCGCGUGGCAGCUCCAGGUUCACGCUCGGUGACACGGGGCGGCUCCUGGGCUUUGAAGCAGCCCAGGCUCGCACCAGUCAGCCCUCAACCUCAGGCGGCCACCCGGCCGAGUAGCAGCGCGGAAGGAUCUCCUCCUCCACAGAUGGGUUUCCCAAGAUCACAACCCAGGCAGAGCCGCAUGCUGUCCACACUGGCAGGAAACCGCAUUCCAUGGUGCGUGGUGUCCAGUCCCAUCCACCAGGAAGGGCUACUCAGAGCCAACCAAGCCCUCACCCAGUGGCCAGUUUGAACAUCCUGGGGAUUUCCUUCCCCCAGGGGAUGUUUCCCCCUUCCUCACAGGCCUUCUUGGAAGGUUUGAUCAAAUCAGGAACUGAAAGGUUUUUUUGUUGUUGUUGUUUUUUGUUUAAGUGGAUGCACCUUAUAAUCAUCUAGAAGCUUUAAAAACAUCUUCAUCUGCAGGCCCCGGCUCCAGCCAUGUGCUUUUAACUGGUCUUGGGAGGGCUACAGGCCCAGCACACCUAGAGGGUUCUCAGAGCUGGUGAGAAUCACCUGCCCUGUGCUGAAUUAGCAGGCUCCUGCCAUCCUCCGCCCACGACACCACUGGGACCCCUUCUGGGGAAGGACGCUUCACUGCUCCACUCUGCAACCCUACAGUCCAGCUGGCCGCCCGGUCUCACGGAGGGCUCAGGAUAAGGACGGAGGGAGUCCUGCCUGGGAAGGCAGUUUGGCUCUCAACCUGGACUGUGCCCUAUCGGAACUGCUCUGGGCACAAACGUUUCAAUGUCUUGUGUUGUUCUAGGGUCAACACAGCCACUGACCAAGGUCGGACUCUCCCGCAGUUGUUGGCACCCUAUUUUCACCUGUGUAAAUGACCUCAUACGGCCUCUUGAGGACCUGCAAGGGGUCUAGAAGCUACUGGCCCUGAGGUAUGAUUUAUACUGAUGCCGUCUUGGAGCAUUUUGUUUAAAGCCAAAAAAGAAAUGAAAUAUGUUGAAUCCAUUCUCAGCAACAGGGAGAAUCAGACUUGGAAAACGGGGCUUCAAAUCUUUCCCUCUCUAGUUACAGAGCAGACUGCCCCAGGAUCCAGUGACAUUCCAUUCCCAUCUCUCCCCGGUUGUUUUCCCCACGUCCCCAAAAGGAAAAUCAGAGGCAUCAGCAAUGCGAGCGCCAAAUCCUAUCUGUCUGAGGCGUUGUGAAGGCAUCCAAUUUUAAUAAUGUCCCUGUGUGAGGACAUCUGGCUAGACAUCAAGGGUCUGCCGGUUGCUUCACAAAUUCUCCUCCCAUUGCCCAAGAUCUGCUACUUAUCUGCUUCCUAAGAUUCUGUCAGAGAAACUUGGAAUUACAAAGAUCUGAGAGAUACAGAUCAGGGCCUUACACAAUACAAUCUUUUAGUUCUCUACUUCUCUGACACCAUCGCAGAAGAUGUGCAGCAAGAAGUGACCACCACAUACGUUCAAGGGGAAGGAAGGGCUGGGUAUGGCAGCUCAUGCCUGCAAUCCUUGCUACUCAGGCAAGGCUGAGGCAGGAGGACCACAAGUUCAAGGUCAGCCUGGCCAACUUUGUGAGACUCUGUCUCAAUCUAAAAAAUAAAAAGGGCCAGGAUAUAGCCCAGUGUGAAGAGCAUUUUCGACCAUGUACAAGGAGCUGGAUUCAAUCCCCAGCAUCACAGAGACACAGAGACACGGGGACACUAUGGUGGGAACACGCAGAGGGCUGUGAGUGGGAGGAACGAUGACCUGGAAUGAUUACUCUCACCUUGCCAGUAAUAGCAGACAAGUAAAAUUCCAACGAGAAAGAAUUUCCUCAGUUGCUGACAUUGGGAGGCCACAGCUUCCUCACCAGCCCCUUCCCCUCAGCCCAGAAUGAUCUCUCUCCAGAGGACAGGGAGGAAACAUGGCGUGGAGGGUAAUCACUUGCGACCAGAGAUAAAAGCACUCAGAAGUGAUGCCAGGACCCCCUGUUGCCAUUCCCGUCCCAUUUCUGAAACUCUUGCUCAAGAGCAGCCUGUUGCACUCAUUGGGACUCUGGCCAAGGGCUGCUGUCCUAUAAAAUCUCUUAUCAGAUGGUUGGUGAAAUUAAGCUUUGUUGCUAUAUAGCACGUUACCAAACAAAAACUGUUUCCAGGGUGAAGACUUUGAGUCUUUCUAUAGCACAAGAUAAAAAAAAAAAAAAACAAACGAAAAAAAAGUAAACAGAUGUUCAUCUAAGAGUGAUCAUUAUAAAAAGAAAGAAGAAAAAACAGCAGAGAAAAAGCCAUGGCUUUUCUUAGAACAGGGUUAAAUUAAUGUGCGUAAUGCUUCAGGAGUGUGAAUGACAGGGAACAAGCAAUAGGGGUGACUAGGAUUAUGAAACUAAAACUUUGGGUUUUAGAGCUAUUUGGCAACCAGGCAACUGAUCUUUGAUCUCAGAAAAAUUGUAAUAAGAGAUUAUCAGAUUUCUCGUUAAAAAAAAGGAAUAAACAAUACUAGCUAUGUGAGUUGAUCCACACUUUUGAGAAAAUUGGUUGAGUAAUGAUAGUCAUGUAAGAAGGAAAGCCCUGUGUCCAUUUUUUUUUUUUUUUGUUACCUGGGAUUGAACUUGGGUCCUUGUGUUUGCGAGUCACGUGGUGGAACCACUGAGCUAAAUCCCCGGCCCCUGUGUCCAAUUCUUCUUUUUUGUUGUUGUUGUUGUUUUGUACUGGGGAUCAAACUCGGGUCCUUGUGCUUGUGAGGCAGGCUGCAGAAACACUGAGCUGAAUCCCUGGACCCCUGUGUCCAAUUCUUAACACAAGAUACCACUAAUAAUGAGGAUCAAUUCUGAAGAAAAAUAAAGGCCUGUACCACAGUAGCAGACUAGGUUUUGUAAAAGGCUAAAAGGAAAAGGAAGGACACAGGGGAAAAG